UCGGAUCAUAUUUAUAUAUAUUUUUACUUCAAAUUCACUCGUCUUUUCUUAGUUAGUUCCUCAUAUUUUUGAGCUAUUUACGUUAUUUUUGUGUUUAUAGGAUUUGUUAUGCAAAGAAAAUAAAAAUAGCACAAAUGAGUUUUAAAUAAUAAACAGAAAAUUGUGGAACACGGGUGGACCACGAGAAAAAUAAUGGAGAGCAUAAAAUAUAUAUAUAUAUAUAUAAUAUAUAUACAUAUA
rnacentral:lncRNA from 1 species